CCUUCUUUCCGCGCUUAGACUGGGAUGACUGUUUUGUGGAACACAUCCGGUUAUCAUAUCCGGUCCCAGGCUUGUAUUCAUUAGAUCAUAUAUGCCAGUGUUUUAUUUAUUUCCUUGUCAUAAACAGUUAUGGAUUCGCGGAGAACUGGUAUUAUUUGUGCAGGUGGGAUUGCUAUAAUAACUGGUACAAACGAAAACGCUUUUUAGAGCAGGAGUGCUAUGAUCAUAAACCGGGCAUUAGAGCGGAAUGUGGCUGUGAAGCGCCAUAUAAUCUCCACCCGCCCCCCUACAAUAGAGAAACUUUUUGGCUUUGGGUAAAAUCCCUACAUCUGCGCGAUAACGAAGCGGCUAUACGUUUGCUUUUUUCAUUUUGUGUGGACAAAAGACAUGAUGGAGCAUCCGUCUCCGGUUAUAACGAUCCUCGACUCAGCGCCUCAUCGUGAAAAUCUCAACACAUAAAGGUUCAUUGGUUUCUUCUACCUGAAAGCAUACCAGGAGGUACAGUAUACAGGCUAUGUUUUUAAUUCCACUUUGGUGUUAAAUAAAUGUGUGAAUGUGUAUAAAUGGUGCAUUUAGAUGGACUAGCAUGCCAACCAGUGUGUAAACCUGCCUUAUUUCCAAUGUUACUGAGAAAGACACCGGAUCCACCAUCGCCCGGAUCAGGAUAACACAAUUACUGAAUAUGAAUGAAUGAUACCUCUGGACAAUGUUGAGAAACGUCAGACUUUUUCACACAUGAAACCCACAUUUGCCUAUUAUAUAUAUAUUUUUUAUUAAACAUUGUUGCUUGAA